GCCGAGAUAGCUCAGUGGUAGAGCAGCGCAAUGGUAAUGCGCAGACCCGAGUUCAAUCCUCGGUCUCGGCUCCA
rnacentral:tRNA from 1 species